GUCACUUCCGGCCCCCAUGUUUGUUGUGUUAACAUGUCUCAGUCUCCCGGAGGUUUGAAGGAGGAUCUGUCAACGUGGACAUGUCUCUUAAACUCUCUUAAAGUCUCUUAAACUCUUUUAAACUCUUUUAAACUCCGAGGUGAGCUGGGCUGGUUUGACUCUUCAUCACCAGAGAGCGAUGAAGAGUCGAAGCUGAGAGUUGAUCCAUGAGCUGCUGUCGUUUCCUCUUCUGAUGAAGCUCGUCCAGCUCCAGAUGUUUGAGUUCAGUUUGAACUGUGGCUGUGGAGACGCUGGAGCAGAACCAUCGUCAGAGCAGAAAGAGAACCACACAAAAGAGAAGUGGACAGUGAAGCCUUCAGAUGCGGCCCGGUCCCUCUGGCGCCGGUUCUUGAACCAGUUGCCGACCUGUGUGGGUGUGAGUCCGGUGGCCUGGGCCAGGUGCCGCUUCCUGGACGGGUUGGGGUACGGGUCCUGGAGGUACCACUCUCUCAGCAGACU